rnacentral:rRNA from 1 species
UACGUAGGGUGCAAGCGUUGUCCGGAAUUAUUGGGCGUAAAGAGCUCGUAGGUGGCGGGUCACGUCGGGUGUGAAAGCCCGGGGGCUUAACCCCCGGGUCUGCAUUCGAUACGGGUCUGCUGGGGUCCGGCAGGGGAGACUGGAAUUCCUGGUGUAGCGGUGAAAUGCGCAGAUAUCAGGAGGAACACCAGUGGCGAAAGCGACUUUCUGGUCCUUAACUGACGCUGAGGCGCGAAAGCAUGGGGAGCGAACGGG